rnacentral:rRNA from 1 species
UGCGAAGGGGGCUAGCGUUGCUCGGAAUUACUGGGCGUAAAGGGCGCGUAGGCGGACAUUUAAGUUAGAGGUGAAAGCCCAGGGCUCAACCCUGGAAUAGCCUUUAAUACUGGAUGUCUUGAGUUCGGGAGAGGUGAGUGGAAUGCCGAGUGUAGAGGUGAAAUUCGUAGAUAUUCGGCGGAACACCAGUGGCGAAGGCGACUCACUGGCCCGAUACUGACGCUGAGGCGCGAAAGCGUGGGGAGCAAACAGG